rnacentral:ncRNA from 2 species
AUAAAUCGAAGAGGCGCAACCAACACAAGUAAACUGAUGGAGCUUGGCCAGGCCGGGAAGUCAGCGGAACAGGGCGGUUGCCGAAGCGUCUAGUUUGGCCCGACUAGGUAGCUGGGGCGUGGGUGAAUAACUCACGGACUGUCGCAGGACAAUAACAGCCUGCGGUGCGCUAUCGACAAA